AAUACGGAGGGUGCAAGCGUUAAUCGGAAUUACUGGGCGUAAAGCGUGCGUAGGCGGUUUAUUAAGUCAGAUGUGAAAGCCCCGGGCUUAACCUGGGAACUGCAUUUGAAACUGGUCAACUAGAGUAUGGUAGAGGAAAGUGGAAUUUCUGGUGUAGCGGUGAAAUGCGUAGAUAUCAGAAGGAACAUCAAUGGCGAAGGCAGCUUUCUGGACCAAUACUGACGCUGAGGUACGAAAGCGUGGGUAGCAAACAGGAUUAGAUACCCUGGUAGUCCACGCCGUAAACGAUGAUAACUAGCCGUUGGGGGGAUUUACCCCUUAGUGGCGAAGCUAACGCGUUAAGUUAUCCGCCUGGGGAGUACGGCCGCAAGGCUAAAACUCAAAGGAAUUGACGGGGACCCGCACAAGCGGUGGAGCAUGUGGUUUAAUUCGAUGCAACGCGAAGAACCUUACCUGGUCUUGACAUCCUGCGAACUUUCUAGAAAUAGAUUGGUGCCUUCGGGAACGCAGUGACAGGUGCUGCAUGGCUGUCGUCAGCUCGUGUCGUGAGAUGUUGGGUUAAGUCCCGUAACGAGCGCAACCCCUAUCCUUAUUUGCCAGCACAUUAUGGUGGGAACUAUAAGGAGACUGCCGGUGAUAAACCGGAGGAAGGCGGGGACGACGUCAAGUCAUCAUGGCCCUUACGACCAGGGCUACACACGUGCUACAAUGGGAAGGACAAAGAGCCGCGAAGCCGCGAGGUGUAGCUAAUCUCAUAAAUCUUUUCGUAGUCCGGAUUGGAGUCUGCAACUCGACUCCAUGAAGUCGGAAUCGCUAGUAAUCGUAGAUCAGAAUGCUACGGUGAAUACGUUCCCGGG
rnacentral:rRNA from 1 species